rnacentral:rRNA from 1 species
GUGGGGAAUCUUGCGCAAUGGGCGAAAGCCUGACGCAGCCAUGCCGCGUGAAUGAUGAAGGUCUUAGGAUUGUAAAAUUCUUUCACCGGGGACGAUAAUGACGGUACCCGGAGAAGAAGCCCCGGCUAACUUCGUGCCAGCAGCCGCGGUAAUACGAAGGGGGCUAGCGUUGCUCGGAAUUACUGGGCGUAAAGGGCGCGUAGGCGGACAGUUUAGUCAGAGGUGAAAGCCCAGGGCUCAACCUUGGAAUUGCCUUUGAUACUGGCUGUCUUGAGUACGGGAGAGGGGAGUGGAACUCCGAGUGUAGAGGUGAAAUUCGUAGAUAUUCGGAAGAACACCAGUGGCGAAGGCGACUCACUGGCCCGUUACUGACGCUGAGGCGCGAAAGCGUGGGGAGCAAACAGGAUUAGAAACCCUGGUAGUCC